UGGCAGCUACAAAAUGCCGUCGGAUGAAACCAAUGGCGAGAAACCAGAAAACCUCCAUGCGGAAUGUAUGUAUGAAAUGUAUGAGAGCAGGCAAGUGUGUGGAUGAGAGCGCCGACGCUAACAAAUGGGAGAGAAGAGGAGAAGAGUAUGCGUUGUCAUGGCAACGCCAGCGGCAGCCAUCUUGGAUGUGAGAGAGGGCGAGCAUGCAGCGGCCAUGCUGCUGCUGAGCUGCCGACACUCACCUGCAGCGGCGGCUGUUGUGAAGUUCUGUGACGUGACUGAAAUAUCGGAAUAUCGGAACAAGAGCCGCAGUCGCAGCAACAAGAGGCCAACGUUGUUUGUGCUUGUGCGGCAAUUUUGUGCCUGUCGGCAAUGCCGUAACGACAGUAGCGACAGUCGCCGUGACUGUUGAACGAGUGCGCCUGCGCUGUGCCCGGACUGCGACAUUGUCCGGCACAGGGAUGGAUGCACAAAAGCAGAGGCAGCGGCAGCGGCAGAGGCAGAGGCAGCGCUAGUGGCAGCGACAGCGACGUCACGUCGACGAGGUGGAUUAUUUCGGAUAUUUUCGCAGUGACCCCCUGAAGUGACUCCUGAAAGGAUGGCAGCUGUUACAGAUCCUCGAGACCCUUGUGGAUGGAUACCUAACCC